rnacentral:rRNA from 1 species
AUACGUAGGGAGCGAGCGUUGUCCGGAAUUACUGGGUGUAAAGGGAGCGUAGGCGGGAGUGCAAGUCAGAUGUGAAAUACAUGGGCUCAACCCAUGGGCUGCAUUUGAAACUGCAUUUCUUGAGUGAAGUAGAGGUAAGCGGAAUUCCUGGUGUAGCGGUGAAAUGCGUAGAUAUCAGGAGGAACACCGGUGGCGAAGGCGGCUUACUGGGCUUGUACUGACGCUGAGGCUCGAAAGCGUGGGGAGCAAACAGGAUUAGAUACCCUGGUAGUCCACGUUGUAAACGAUGAUUACUAGGUGUGGGGGGACUGACCCCUUCCGUGCCGCAGUUAACACAAUAAGUAAUCCACCUGGGGAGUACGGCCGCAAGGUUGAAACUCAAAUGAAUUGACGGGG